GCGAUGAAGUUUCUUCGGAAAUGGAUUAGCGGCGAACGGGUGAGGAACACGUGAAGAAUCUGCCCUCCACUUUGGGAUAACACCGGGAAACCGGUGCUAAUACCGAAUAUUGAAACAUAAGUGGCAUCACUGAGUUUUGAAAGAAUUUCGGUGGAGGAUGACUUCGCGGCCUAUCAGCUAGUUGGUGAGGUAAUGGCUCACCAAGGCAACGACGGGUAGCCGGCCUGAGAGGGCGACCGGCCACACUGGGACUGAGACACGGCCCAGACUCCUACGGGAGGCAGCAGUGGGGAAUAUUGGGCAAUGGAGGAAACUCUGACCCAGCGACGCCGCGUGCGGGAUGAAGGCCUUCGGGUUGUAAACCGCUUUCAGUAGGGAAGAAGCGAAAGUGACGGUACCUACAAAAGAAGCACCGGCUAACUAUGUGC
rnacentral:rRNA from 1 species